rnacentral:sRNA from 1 species
GCUGGGCAUGGUGAUACACGCCUAUAAUCCCAGAUGCUCGGGAGGCUGAGGCAGGAGGAUCACGAGUUCAAAGCCAGCCUCAGUAACUUAGCGAGGCCCUGAGCAACUCAGAGAGACCUUGUCUCUA